rnacentral:lncRNA from 1 species
ACUUAAACUCCACAAAGUUGUUACUUUCACUUUCUCAAGAUAAAUGUCCAUGAGAUUAAAGCUAAUAUAAAUUCAUAUUAAAAAGCUUAAUUGAAAACUCAAAACAAUAGACCCGGCAUGGUCCCCAAUAAGAUUUUCAUGAGCCUCGUUACUGCAACGAGAUGAAGAAGAUCAAGUCGCUAUAAUUCUGACUUGAGAAGUAAAUAUGGGAGAAAAAGGAACUUCGUACAUUGGAUAAAGUAAUAUGGCAUUGAUAGGCCAAGCAUUACAAAGAGUAGUAAUUUUUAUAUCAGUUAAAGACAAAUGUAAGCAUCAACAUAUCUGGACAAACGUCUAAAUUUCAACAAAUUUGUGGUUUCUAGUUGUCCAAGAGGGAUUUCAAGCCCUUCGAUAAAGCAGAUGACGAUGUUAAAGAAGCCUUAUGUAAGGCUAGUGCCUGUACACUAGUCAUGAAAAAAUCAAAUUCUCAUACAAAGUGUAGUAAUCACAUUCGAGAUGAAAGAUUGGUGGGCAGGUUAAUUUACCUCAUGUUGGCCGAUAGUUUCCAAUCUCACUUCAAUAUCAUCAACAGGUACGAUCAGUUCUUUAAGGAAAGAAAUACAAGAUGCAGAAGAUGAAGGCGUCACUACCAAGUUAUCUGACACCACAAAUAAUUGAUUUUCCAUCAAAAAUUUACCAAAGCACUCCGUACUGGGUUUUGAGUUGAAGAUCGUCCUCACAUUCUAUAGAUCUAAUUUUUAAUAACUGAGCCUUACACUUGUACCGCUCAAGAAAACCAACAUCUGUUAUAACUUUGUUCUUUAAAUAAAGAAACAUCUGAUACAUAGACUUCACAUUUUUAUACAAGAUGUCAAUGCAUCCCUAUCCAGAGUCCCACCCAAGAAGUUUUAUCAAGAAGUUUUUUUUUUCUUUUUUUUUUUGCUCGGUAGUAAUUCGAAACCUACAUAGUACACAUCAGAAUAUUAAGGUAAAUUCGAUAAAUGAAUAAAUG